rnacentral:misc_RNA from 1 species
AAGGAUCAUUACCGAGUGCGGGCCCUCUGGGUCCAACCUCCCAUCCGUGUCUAUCUGUACCCUGUUGCUUCGGCGUGGCCACGGCCCGCCGGAGACUAACAUUUGAACGCUGUCUGAAGUUUGCAGUCUGAGUUUUUAGUUAAACAAUCGUUUAAAACUUUCAACAACGGAUCUCUUGGUUCCGGCAUCGAUGAAGAACGCAGCGAAAUGCGAUAAUUAAUGUGAAUUGCAGAAUUCAGUGAAUCAUCGAGUCUUUGAACGCACAUUGCGCCCCCUGGUAUUCCGGGGGGCAUGCCUGUCCGAGCGUCAUUGCUGCCCUCAAGCACGGCUUGUGUGUUGGGCUUCCGUCCCUGGCAACGGGGACGGGCCCAAAAGGCAGUGGCGGCACCAUGUCUGGUCCUCGAGCGUAUGGGGCUUUGUCACCCGCUCCCGUAGGUCCAGCUGGCAGCUAGCCUCGCAACCAAUCUUUUUAACCAGGUUGACCUCGGAUCAGGUAGGGAUACCCGCUGAACUUAAGCAUAUCAAUAAGCGGAGGAA